CAAUAGCGUAUAUUAAAGUUGUUGCAGUUAAAACGCUCGUAGUCGGAUUUCGGGACGGGUCCGCCGGUCUGCCGAUGGGUACGCACUGGCGGGCGCGUCCUUCCUUCCGGAGACUGGCCCUACUCUUAGCUGAGCGGGGUCGGGAGUCGGAUCGUUUACUUUGAAAAAAUCAGAGUGUUUCAAGCAGGCAGCUCGCUCUUGCAUGGAUUAGCAUGGGAUAAUGAAAUAGGACUUUGGUGCUAUUUUGUUGGUUUCGAACACCGAAGUAAUGAUUAACAGGGACAGUCAGGGGCACUCGUAUUCCGCCGAGAGAGGUGAAAUUCUCAGACCAGCGGAAGACGAACCACUGCGAAAGCAUUUGCCAGGGAUGUUUUCACUGA
rnacentral:rRNA from 1 species